CCUAAACAUAAUCAUUACUAGCCAUUUCAAAUAGCUAGAUUACAACAAAAUUUGUAAUAGGCCCAGCCCGGGCCCAUCAAAAACAAUAAAACAAAAUAAUUAACAAAAAAAAAACAAAACAAAAAAGAACCACAAAAUUAAAUAGUCCAAAAUAGUUCAUUUACAGUUUUUACCAGCUCAUACAAAAACAAAACCAUAAAAUAAAACCAAAUAAAUAAUAAACCAAAAUAAACUUUUAUGGGUCUAAUGUCCUUUUACAAAUUUCUAGGCCCAAACCAUAAACUAAAUUCAAAGCCCAAACAUCAAACCUAACAUAGGCCCGAAUUAAAACUAAAAUAACCCUUUAAGCCCAAUUUCUAACCCAAACUCAAAUUAAGAUUACCCUAACCAAAUACAGGACCUGAGCCCAAUGGCCCAAUACCCAAAAUGAGCCCAGGCGACCCAAGCAGUUUCGACUGGUGAGAAUCCUAGCAAGGGGCCUUGCGCCACUACCCACAAGCAGCCUUCUCCUUCGUACAGCAUUCCUCGCGUCAGUUGAACCUGCGAGAAGAAGCCAAAAAAUGAUAAAAGCAGGAAAUGCAGCACAGAAAUAACAAAAGAAAAUAUAAAAAAGAAUGAUAAUGUAAAUUCAUAUUUUUCAUUUUUUGCUUCGGCUAUAUAAGGCCAAUUGUAAACAAAGAAAAGGGGAUACUAAAAAUACAUAUACAAAGGCCAUUAAAAAUCAGUUUUAAAGGUGAUCUUAGAUCUCACUUUUCUUUUGAUUUGGUUUCUAUUUCUCUGAUCUUUACUUACUGCAUGUAGAAAAUGUAAAAGGAAAGGGGAAAAGGAACAAGAAUCUCACCUGGGUUUCGUCCGUUGCCAGCACAGUGGCCUUCUUUUAUGCCGGAAUCGGCAUUCAGAUAAAGAGGUUGAGAGCAUUUGGGACAUUUUAGGUUUUUUUUAGGGGCAGAAGAAUAGAUUUUUUUCUGAAAUUUUGCUUGCUUUUGUACUUCAAAUCAGAUGACGUCGUUUUAGGCCAAUUUGAAUGGUCUCAAAAUGGCG
rnacentral:lncRNA from 1 species